AUUGAACGCUGGCGGCAUGCUUUACACAUGCAAGUCGAACGGUAACAGGCCUUCGGGUGCUGACGAGUGGCGAACGGGUGAGUAAUGCAUCGGAACGUGCCCAAUCGUGGGGGAUAACGUAGCGAAAGUUACGCUAAUACCGCAUAAGCCCUGAGGGGGAAAGCAGGGGAUCGCAAGACCUUGCGCGAAUGGAGCGGCCGAUGUCAGAUUAGCUAGUUGGUGGGGUAAAGGCCUACCAAGGCGACGAUCUGUAACGGGUCUGAGAGGAUGAUCCGCCACACUGGGACUGAGACACGGCCCAGACUCCUACGGGAGGCAGCAGUGGGGAAUUUUGGACAAUGGGCGCAAGCCUGAUCCAGCCAUGCCGCGUGCGGGACGAAGGCCUCGGUUGUAACCGCUUUCAGCCGGAAGAAUACGCCAAGGCUAAUAUCCUUGGUGGAGUGACGGUACCGGAAGAAGAAGCACCGGCUAACUACGUGCCAGCAGCCGCGG
rnacentral:rRNA from 1 species